AUGGCACUUUCUGGGAGUCAUGGUUUCCCUGGCAGUCCUGGUGCUAUUGCUUUAGAGGGCAUGGAAAGAAACAGAACAGGUGGCAGGGAGAUGUAUGCAUUACCAUGGAUGAGAACUGAAGACAGUUGCUGGAAGGAGACUGGAUGAUAGAAUUUUGUGCCCUGUGGUACCCUGCUUGUCAAAAGCUUCCACCAGAAUGGGAAAGUUUUGCUGAAUGGGGAGAAGUUCUUGAGGUUAAUGUAGCAAAAGUAGAUGUCACAGGGCAGCCAGGACUGAGUAGACAGUUCAUCAUAACUGCUCUCCUACUAUUUAUCAUUGUAAAGAUGGUGAAUUUAGACACCAUCAGGGUCCAAGGACUAAGAAGGACUUCAGAAACUUUAUAAGUGAUGAAAAGUGGAAGAGUAUUGAACCAAUUCCAUCAUGGUUUGGUUCAGGUUCUUUUCUGAUGAGCAGUAUGUCAGCACUCUUUCAGCUCUCUAUGUGGAUCAGGAUUUGUCAUAACUAUUUUAUUGAAGACCUUAGAUUACCGGUUUGGAAAUUGUAUACAGUUUUUGCUUUAGCAAUUCUGCUUUCAGGGCUGUUUUUAGGACUCUUUAUGAUAUUUGUGGCAGAUUGCCUUUGUCCUUCAAAAAGGUGCAGACUGCAGCCAUACUUGUUAUAUUAGUUCAUUCUU
rnacentral:lncRNA from 1 species